GAUGAACGCUGGCGGCGUGCCUAAUACAUGCAAGUCGAGCGAACAGACGAGGAGCUUGCUCCUCUGACGUUAGCGGCGGACGGGUGAGUAACACGUGGAUAACCUACCUAUAAGACUGGGAUAACUUCGGGAAACCGGAGCUAAUACCGGAUAAUAUAUUGAACCGCAUGGUUCAAUAGUGAAAGACGGUUUUGCUGUCACUUAUAGAUGGAUCCGCGCCGCAUUAGCUAGUUGGUAAGGUAACGGCUUACCAAGGCAACGAUGCGUAGCCGACCUGAGAGGGUGAUCGGCCACACUGGAACUGAGUCACGGUCCAGACUCCUACGGGAGGCAGCAGUAGGGAAUCUUCCGCAAUGGGCGAAAGCCUGACGGAGCAACGCCGCGUGAGUGAUGAAGGUCUUCGGAUCGUAAAACUCUGUUAUUAGGAAAGAACAAAUGUGUAAGUAACUAUGCACGUCUUGACGGUACCUAAUCAGAAAGCCACGGCUAACUACGUG
rnacentral:rRNA from 1 species